rnacentral:tRNA from 1 species
GCAGUGGUUGUUCUGUUGUAGAAUUCUCACCUUCCAUGUGGGAGACCUGGGUUCGAUUCCUGGUGAGUGCA